UGUAGUUUGUAGUCUAGCAGACCCAUGAAAUGAUGAAAUGGUCUGCUAGACUACAAACUACAAAAU
ensembl:ncRNA Y51H7C.26 ncRNA